rnacentral:tRNA from 1 species
GUGAGCAUAGUCCAGUUGGUAGGACAAUGAAUUAUUAUAUCCAGGGGACGGAGUUCGAACCUCGAACACCUCACG